rnacentral:tRNA from 1 species
GUUCUUUAGUAUAAAUAAGUAUGUUUGAUUUCCAAUCAAGGGGUUUAGAGAAUUAA